rnacentral:rRNA from 1 species
AUUGAACGCUGGCGGCAUGCCUUACACAUGCAAGUCGAACGGUAACGCGGGGCAACCUGGCGACGAGUGGCGAACGGGUGAGUAACGCAUCGGGACGUGCCCAGUAGUGGGGGAUAGCCCGGCGAAAGCCGGAUUAAUACCGCAUACGACCUACGGGUGAAAGGGGGGGAUCGCAAGACCUCUCGCUAUUGGAGCGGACGAUGUCAGAUUAGGUAGUUGGUGGGGUAAAGGCCCACCAAGCCUUCGAUCUGUAGCUGGUCUGAGAGGACGACCAGCCACACUGGGACUGAGACACGGCCCAGACUCCUACGGGAGGCAGCAGUGGGGAAUUUUGGACAAUGGGCGCAAGCCUGAUCCAGCCAUGCCGCGUGCGGGAAGAAGGCCUUCGGGUUGUAAACCGCUUUUGUCAGGGAAGAAACGCUCUGGGCUAAUACCCCGGGGUAAUGACGGUACCUGAAGAAUAAGCACCGGCUAACUACGUGCCAGCAGCCGCCGUAA